CAUCCUCACGGAUCAACUACAGCUAAAGAGCAGCAGGACCAGCUGAGGCCAUCUGGAGCGGGUUCUGGUUCUGUCAGAGUGGACUGCUUAGGUUAACUUAACCCAGAGUUAUCUUAGCGAUACUUAACCCAGAGUUAGCUUAGCGAUACUUAACCCAGAGUUAACUUAGGUUAACUUAACCCAGAGUUAUCUUAGCGAUACUUAACCCAGAGUUAUCUUAGGUUAACUUAACCCAGAGUUAUCUUAGCGAUACUUAACCCAGAGUUAACUUAGGUUAACUUAACCCAGAGUUAUCUUAGCGAUACUUAACCCAGAGUUAGCUUAGCGAUACUUAACCCAGAGUUAACUUAGGUUAACUUAACCCAGAGUUAUCUUAGCGAUACUUAACCCAGAGUUAUCUUAGGUUAACUUAACCCAGAGUUAUCUUAGCGAUACUUAACCCAGAGUUAACUUAGGUUAACUUAACCCAGAGUUAUCUUAGCGAUACUUAACCCAGAGUUAUCUUAGCGAUACUUAACCCAGAGUUAGCUUAGCGAUACUUAACCCAGAGUUAACUUAGGUUAACUUAACCCAGAGUUAUCUUAGCGAUACUUAACCCAGAGUUAUCUUAGCGAUACUUAACCCAGAGUUAACUUAGGUUAACUUAACCCAGAGUUAUCUUAGCGAUACUUAACCCAGAGUUAUCUUAGCGAUACUUAACCCAGAGUUAUCUUAGCGAUACUUAACC